ACGGGAGGCAGCAGUGAGGAAUAUUGGUCAAUGGCCGGAAGGCUGAACCAGCCAAGUAGCGUGAGGGAUGACUGCCCUAUGGGUUGUAAACCUCUUUUGUCCGGGAAUAAAGUGGUCCACGCGUGGUCCAUUGCAUGUACCGGUCGAAUAAGCAUCGGCUAACUCCGUGCCAGCAGCCGCGGUAAUACGGAGGAUGCGAGCGUUAUCCGGAUUUAUUGGGUUUAAAGGGAGCGUAGGCGGAAGGUCAAGUCAGCUGUGAAAUGUAGUCGCUCAACGUCUGCACUGCAGUUGAAACUGGCCUCCUUGAGUGCGUAAGAGGCAGGCGGAAUUCGUCGUGUAGCGGUGAAAUGCUUAGAUAUGACGAAGAACUCCGAUUGCGAAGGCAGCUUGCUGGGCCGCAACUGACGCUGAAGCUCGAAGGUGCGGGUAUCAAACAGGAUUAGAUACCCUGGUA
rnacentral:rRNA from 1 species